rnacentral:lncRNA from 1 species
UGGACCAGUCUUGAGCCACAACUCAGACUUAUUUUCAUUCUCUGCUCAUUGGCCAUUAGGAACCCGAUCCUUAUGACCUGCAGUGACCUGCUGCUACCAGAACUGACUCGCUUCGAAGUGACGGAUGAAACCCAUAUGGAGAUAUUCCUGGGGUGGUUAGGCCAGUUGGAAGACAGAGUGCUUACACCUGAGAGAGGACUUGAGAAUUUUACUCAGAGUCACGUUGCUCACUGCUGUGCACUCCUGCAGGCACAUCCCAGUGGACUCUGCGCUGCAUCCCCAAAGUACAGCGUGUUUCCCGCCUCCCAUUAGAGAUCCAAUACAUAUUUUUUUGAAAGAAGAAACUGAUGGAAGAGAGGAAGCAAAAAGGAGAGGAAGGAAAGGGAUAGGAAGGAGGGGAAGAAAGGGACAGGAAGGAGGAAAAGGAAAGGGAAAGGAAGGAAAAGAAAGGAAAGGGAACUUGAAAUCCUACAAGGUCUCAAAGUCAAAUAACAUGAUUGCUGUUUUAGAGAAUUGAAGAUCCUUCCUCUUCAAGAAUCUGAAAUCUACCAUGAUCUUCGCAUGUAGCAAAACACAAUGGGAUGUGGUCAUUUAAGAGUGCUGUGAAGGCAGUGUGUGUACAUAGUCAUUUAAGAGUGCUGUGAAGGCAGU